rnacentral:rRNA from 1 species
UCUGGUUGAUCCUGCCAGUAGUCAUAUGCUUGUCUCAAAGAUUAAGCCAUGCAUGUCUAAGUAUAAAUAGUAUACAGUGAAACUGCGAAUGGCUCAUUAAAACAGUUAUAGUUUAUUUGAUAAUUGACAAUUACAUGGAUAACCGUGGUAAUUCUAGAGCUAAUACAUGCUUAAACGCCCGACUUUAUGGAAGGGUGGUAUUUAUUAGACUGAAGCCAAUAUUCCUUGUGUCUAUUGCGGUGAUUCAUAAUAACUGAUCGAAUCUCUUUUUGAGAUAAAUCAUUCAAGUUUCUGCCCUAUCAGCUUUCGAUGGUAGUGUAUUGGACUACCAUGGCAGUAACGGGUAACGAAGAAUUAGGGUUCGAUUUCGGAGAGGGAGCAUGAGAAACGGCUACCACAUCUAAGGAAGGCAGCAGGCGCGUAAAUUACCCAAUCCUGACUCAGGGAGGUAGUGACAAGAAAUAGCAAACCGGGAACCUCAUGGUUUCACGGUAUUGCAAUGAGAACAAUUUAAAACCCUUAGCGAGAAUCAAGUGGAGGACAAGUCUGGUGCCAGCACCCGCGGUAAUUCCAGCUCCACUAGCGUAUAUUAAAGUUGUUGCAGUUAAAAAGCUCGUAGUUGAACCUCUGUCUGGGGCUAGUUUUGGCUUUGGUCAGGCUAGUUCUAGGCAUCCGCCUACAAGACUUAGAGGGCAUUCAGUUGUUCACUAGGAGGAGUAGGCAUUUUACUUUGAAAAAAUUAGAGUGUUUAAGGCAGGCAAUCGCCCGCAUAUAUUAGCAUGGAAUAAUAGAAUAGGACACUUUUCCAUUUCGUUGGUUAUUGGAAUCGUGUAAUGAUUAAUAGGGACAGUUGUGGGCAUUUGUAUUUAAUUGUCAGAGGUGAAAUUCUUGGAUUUAUUAAAGACAAACUAACGCGAAAGCAUUUGCCAAGGAUGUUUUCAUUAAUCAAGAACGAAAGUUAGGGGAUCAAAGACGAUCAGAUACCGUCCUAGUCUUAACUAUAAACUAUUCCGACUCAAUGUUUGACUGGCUUAUAUAACCAGUUGAGCGUUGUAUGAGAAAUCAAAGUCUUUAGGUUCUGGGGGGAGUAUGGUUGCAAGCUGAAACUUAAAGGAAUUGACGGAAGAGCACAACCAGGAGUGGAUUCUGCGGCUUAAUUUGACUCAACACGGGGAAACUUACCAGGUUAAAACAAUAGUGGGAUUGACAGUUUGAGAGCGCUUUCUUGAUUGGUUGGGUGGUGGUGCAUGGCCGUUCUUAGUUGGUGGAGUGAUUUGUCUGCUUAAUUGCGUUAACGAACGAGACCUUAACCUGCUUACUAGAC